rnacentral:rRNA from 1 species
CAAUAGCGUAUAUUAAAGUUGUUGCGGUUAAAAAGCUCGUAGUUGAAUCUCGGCAGGCAGGGGGUGGUACGCUCUUAGCGCUACUGCCCCAUUUGCCUGUGUGAUUGGCGGAGGUUUCGGGGUGCUCUUCGUUGAGUGACCCGGGGCGCCGUCAGGUUUACUUUGAAAAAAUUAGAGUGCUCAAAGCAGGCUUUUCACGCUUGAAUAUUCGUGCAUGGAAUAAUGGAAUAGGAACUCGUUUCUAUUUUGUUGGUUUUCGGAAAUCGAGUUAAUGAUUAAUAGGGACAAUUGGGGGCAUUAGUAUUCAGACGACAGAGGUGAAAUUCUUGGACCGUCUGAAGACUAACUACUGCGAAAGCAUUUGCCAAGAGUGUUUUCAUUAA